rnacentral:rRNA from 1 species
UACGAAGGGGGCUAGCGUUGCUCGGAUUGACUGGGCGUAAAGGGCGCGUAGGCGGUUCGUACAGUCAGGCGUGAAAUUCCUGGGCUCAACCUGGGGGCUGCGUUUGAUACGUGCGGACUUGAGUGCGGAAGAGGGUCGUGGAAUUCCCAGUGUAGAGGUGAAAUUCGUAGAUAUUGGGAAGACCACCGGUGGCGAAGGCGGCGACCUGGUCCGAUACUGACGCUGAGGCGCGAAAGCGUGGGGAGCAAACAGG